rnacentral:rRNA from 1 species
GACGAACGCUGGCGGCGUGCCUAAUACAUGCAAGUAGAACGCUGAAGGAGGAGCUUGCUUCUCUGGAUGAGUUGCGAACGGGUGAGUAACGCGUAGGUAACCUGCCUGGUAGCGGGGGAUAACUAUUGGAAACGAUAGCUAAUACCGCAUAAGAGUAGAUGUCGCAUGACAUUUGCUUAAAAGGUGCAAUUGCAUCACUACCAGAUGGACCUGCGUUGUAUUAGCUAGUUGGUGAGGUAACGGCUCACCAAGGCAACGAUACAUAGCCGACCUGAGAGGGUGAUCGGCCAAACUGGGACUGAGACACGGCCCAGACUCCUACGGGAGGCAGCAGUAGGGAAUCUUCGGCAAUGGACGGAAGUCUGACCGAGCAACGCCGCGUGAGUGAAGAAGGGUGUCGGAUCGUAAAGCUCUGUUGUAAGAGAAGAACGAGUGUGAGAGUGGAAAGUUCACACUGUGACGGUAUCUUACCAGAAAGGGACGGCUAACUACGUG